rnacentral:rRNA from 1 species
AUUGAACGCUGGCGGCAGGCCUAACACAUGCAAGUCGAGCGGAUGAUGGAAGCUUGCUCCUGGAUUCAGCGGCGGACGGGUGAGUAAUGCCUAGGAAUCUGCCUGGUAGUGGGGGACAACGUUUCGAAAGGAACGCUAAUACCGCAUACGUCCUACGGGAGAAAGCAGGGGACCUUCGGGCCUUGCGCUAUCAGAUGAGCCUAGGUCGGAUUAGCUUGUUGGUGAGGUAAUGGCUCACCAAGGCGACGAUCCGUAACUGGUCUGAGAGGAUGAUCAGUCACACUGGGAAUGGGACACGGGCCAGACUCCUACGGGAGGCAGCAGUGGGGAAUAUUGGACAAUGGGCGAAAGCCUGAUCCAGCCAUGCCGCGUGUGUGAAGAAGGUCUUCGGAUUGUAAAGCACUUUAAGUUGGGAGGAAGGGUUGUAGAUUAAUACUCUGCAAUUUUGACGUUACCGACAGAAUAAGCACCGGCUAACUCUGUGCCAGCCGCCGCUGUAAAAC